AGCGAACGCUGGCGGCAGGCCUAACACAUGCAAGUCGAACGAAGUCUUCGGACUUAGUGGCGGACGGGUGAGUAACACGUGGGAACGUGCCUUUAGGUUCGGAAUAACUCAGGGAAACUUGUGCUAAUACCGAAUGUGCCCUUCGGGGGAAAGAUUUAUCGCCUUUAGAGCGGCCCGCGUCUGAUUAGCUAGUUGGUGAGGUAAAGGCCCACCAAGGCGACGAUCAGUAGCUGGUCUGAGAGGAUGAUCAGCCACAUUGGGACUGAGACACGGCCCAAACUCCUACGGGAGGCAGCAGUGGGGAAUCUUGCGCAAUGGGCGAAAGCCUGACGCAGCCAUGCCGCGUGAAUGAUGAAGGUCUUAGGAUUGUAAAAUUCUUUCACCGGGGACGAUAAUGACGGUACCCGGAGAAGAAGCCCCGGCUAACUUCGUGCCAGCCGCCGCCGUAA
rnacentral:rRNA from 1 species